rnacentral:rRNA from 1 species
GACGAACGCUGGCGGCGUGCUUAACACAUGCAAGUCGAACGGAAAGGCCUCGGCUUGCAGGGGUGCUCGAGUGGCGAACGGGUGAGUAACACGUGAGUGAUCUGCCUUGGACUCUGGGAUAACCUCGGGAAACUGGGGCUAAUACCGGAUAGGAACUGCCGUUACUGGGGGGGGUGGAAAGAUUUUUCGGUGCUGGAUGAGCUCUCGGCCUAUCAUCCUUGUGGGUGGGGGAAUGGGCUACCACGGCGUCUACAGGGAUCCCGCCUGAGAGGGUGUACACGCCACAUUGUGACUGAGAUACUGCCCACACACCCACAGGAGGCGGCAGUGGGGAAUAUUGCGCAAUGUGCGGAAACCUGAUGCACCGACACCCCGCGUGGGAUGACAGCCUUCUCGUUGUGAACUCCUUUCUACACGGACAAAACGCAAGUGACAGUACCUGGAUAAGAAACACCGGCUAACUACUAUGCCAGCAGCCGCGGUAAUACUUAUGGUGCGAGCGUCGUCCCGAAUUUCUGGGCGUAAAGAGCUCGUAUGAGGUUUGUCGCGUCGUCUGUGAAAUUCUGGGGCUUAACUCCGGGCGUGCAGGCGAUACGGGCAUAACUUGAGUGCUGUAGGGGAGACUGGAAUUCCUGGUGUAGCGGUGAAAUGCGCAGAUAUCAGGAGGAACACCGAUGGCGAAGGCAGGUCUCUGGGCAGUUACUGACGCUGAGGAGCGAAAGCAUGGGUAGCGAACAGGAUUAGAUACCCUGGUAGUCCAUGCCGUAAACGGUGGGCGCUAGGUGUAGGGGGCUUCCACGUCUUCUGUGCCGUAGCUAACGCAUUAAGCGCCCCGCCUGGGGAGUACGGCCGCAAGGCUAAAACUCAAAGGAAUUGACGGGGGCCCGCACAAGCGGCGGAGCAUGUGGAUUAAUUCGAUGCAACGCGAAGAACCUUACCUGGGCUUGACAUACACCAGAUCGCUGCAGAGAUGUAGUUUCCCUUGUGGUUGGUGUACAGGUGGUGCAUGGUUGUCGUCAGCUCGUGUCGUGAGAUGUUGGGUUAAGUCCCGCAACGAGCGCAACCCUUGUCUUAUGUUGCCAGCAUUUGGUUGGGGACUCAUGAGAGACUGCCGGGGUUAACUCGGAGGAAGGUGGGGAUGACGUCAAAUCAUCAUGCCCCUUAUGUCCAGGGCUUCACACAUGCUACAAUGGUCGGUACAACGAGCAGCGACCCUGUGAGGGGGAGCGAAUCUCGGAAAGCCGGUCUCAGUUCGGAUUGGGGUCUGCAACUCGACCCCAUGAAGUCGGAGUCGCUAGUAAUCGCAGAUCAGCAACGCUGCGGUGAAUACGUUCCCGGGCCU